GAUAAACGCUAGCGGCAGGCCUAACACAUGCAAGUCGAGGGGCAUCACGGGGUAGCAAUACUCUGGUGGCGACCGGCGCACGGGUGAGUAACGCGUAUGUAACCUACCCUGUACUGGGGGAUAACCCGGAGAAAUUCGGACUAAUAUCCCAUGGAAAUAUUGAAAGGCAUCUUUUAAUAUUUAAAGUUCCGGCGGUACGGGAUGGGCAUGCGUAACAUUAGCUGGUUGGUAAGGUAACGGCUUACCAAGGCUUUGAUGUUUAGGGGUCCUGAGAGGGUGAUCCCCCACACUGGUACUGAGACACGGACCAGACUCCUACGGGAGGCAGCAGUGAGGAAUAUUGGUCAAUGGGCGCAAGCCUGAACCAGCCAUCCCGCGUGCAGGAAGACGGCCCUAUGGGUUGUAAACUGCUUUUCCAGGGGGAGAAACUUGCGUACGCGUUGCGCAAUUGACGGUACCCUGGGAAUAAGCAUCGGCUAACUCCGUG
rnacentral:rRNA from 1 species